rnacentral:misc_RNA from 1 species
GAAAUGCGAUAAGUAAUGUGAAUUGCAGAAUUCAGUGAAUCAUCGAAUCUUUGAACGCACCUUGCGCUCCUUGGUAUUCCUUGGAGCAUGCCUGUUUGAGUAUCAUGAAAUCUUCAAAGUAAAUCUUUUGUUAACUCAAUUGGUUUCUACUUUGGUAUUGGAGGUCUUUGCAGCUUCACACCUGCUCCUCUUUGUUCAUUAGCUGGAUCUCAGUGUUAUGCUUGGUUCCACUCGGCGUGAUAAGUUAUCUAUCGCUGAGGACACUGUAAAAGGUGGCCAAGGUAAAUGCAGAUGAACCGCUUCUAAUAGUCCAUUGACUUGGACAAUACUUUUAUGAUCUGAUCUCAAAUCAGGUAGGACUACCCGCUGAACUGAAGC